AUUGAACACUGGCGGCAUGCUUUACACAUGCAAGUCGAACGGUAACAGGCCGCAAGGUGCUGACGAGUGGCGAACGGGUGAGUAAUGCAUCGGAACGUGCCCAGUCGUGGGGGAUAACUACUCGAAAGAGUAGCUAAUACCGCAUACGAUCUAUGGAUGAAAGCGGGGGACCGUAAGGCCUCGCGCGAUUGGAGCGGCCGAUGUCAGAUUAGGUAGUUGGUGGGGUAAAGGCUCACCAAGCCAACGAUCUGUAGCUGGUCUGAGAGGACAACCAGCCACACUGGGACUGAGACACGGCCCAGACUCCUACGGGAGGCAGCAGUGGGGAAUUUUGGACAAUGGGCGCAAGCCUGAUCCAGCAAUGCCGCGUGCAGGAAGAAGGCCUUCGGGUUGUAAACUGCUUUUGUACGGAACGAAACGGCUCUGGUUAAUACCCGGGGCUAAUGACGGUACCGUAAGAAUAAGCACCGGCUAACUACGUG
rnacentral:rRNA from 1 species